UGCCGUGAGUAAAAAAAAAACAAAAAACACCACAGAUCAAAGCGCUACGAGCCGGAGUUUGUGGCUCCGGGAGGGGGAAUUGGCCACUUCGGGAGGGGAACGGGGGGAAAAAAAGAGAGGCGACGGCGGAUUCUUCAAGGACCCCAUGAAGCAGGAAAGGAACAAGUGAUCGCCACCCCGCCACCCCACUCCGGUCAAAGCUGCCUCGUCCGCCUUGGGUCUGGAUCAGGUGCUUCUUCUCCUUUUCCUCCGGCUUUCCCAUUCCAAAGCGGAAUGCUGUAGCCCGGGAUCCCCGCCGCGGGAGAAACGAGGAACGGGGCUCUCUCGUCGACUUCACAACACCCGAACCAUGAAGAAGCGCCAGAUCCGAAGCUGCCUGCCCGCCCUAACGCUGCUCCUCUGGUGGAGCGUCCGCUCGGCAGGUUCUCAAGCAGUUUGUGCAGGCACCCAAAACGAGCUCAGUGUGACAGGAGAUGCCCAGCAACGGUAUCAGACACUAUAUAAAAUGUACAACAACUGUGAGAUCGUCAUGGGCAACCUUGAGAUAGUGCUCAUUGGACAAAACCAGGAUCUUUCUUUCCUGCAGACCAUCCGAGAAGUAACAGGCUAUGUUUUGAUCGCCAUGAAUGUCUUCACUUACCUGCCACUGCAGAACCUCCGUAUGAUACGUGGGACCCAAUACUACGAAGACAAGUAUGCCCUCUAUGUGGUCCUCAACUAUGAAAAAAAUGUUACACACGCUUUACACCAGAUGGGUUUCAAUCAGCUCACAGAAAUCCUCUCUGGGGGUGUUUAUAUUGGAAAGAACAAACAGCUAUGUCACAUGAACACAAUUGAUUGGGAAGACAUCAUCCGAGAUCCAAAAUUCCAUGCAGUGGUCCAUGACAAUGGGGAGAAAUGUGCUCCGUGCCAUGAAAACUGCAAUGGCCGCUGUUGGGGGCCUGGUCCUGAAGACUGUCAAAAAUUGACAAAGACCAUCUGUGCUCCUCAGUGCAAUGGACGCUGCUUUGGCCCCAACCCCAAUGAAUGCUGUCACGAUGAGUGUGCAGGAGGUUGCACUGGGCCGCUCAAGACAAAGUGCUUUGCCUGCCGUCACUUCAAUGACAGUGGAGCCUGUGAAACCCUCUGUCCUCAGCCAAUGAUCUACAACAGGCUCACUUUUCAACUGGAGCCCAAUCCUGAUGCUAAAUACCAAUAUGGUGGCGUGUGUGUCAAAAAUUGCCCACAUAAUUUUGUGGUGGACCGGACCUCCUGUGUCAGAACCUGUCCCAAUGACAAAAUGGAAGUUGAAAAAAAUGGCCAGAAGAUCUGUCAGCUUUGUGAGGGACUCUGCCCAAAAGCUUGUGAAGGGACUGGUAUUGGAAGUAAAUAUCAGACAGUGGAUUCCAGCAACAUUCACCGAUUUAUAAACUGCACCAAAAUCUUGGGCAAUUUGGAUUUUCUUAUCACUGGUCUAGAAGGAGACCCUUGGCACAACAUAAGUGCCCUGGAUCCAGAAAAACUCAAUGUCUUCAGGACUGUGCGAGAGAUCACUGGUUACUUGAACAUCCAGUCAUGGCCCAAGCAUAUGCAGAAUUUCAGCAUCUUCUCCAACCUGGUCACCAUUGGUGGGCGCAGUCUAUAUAACCGUGGAUUUUCUUUGCUGAUCAUGAAGAACAUGAAUGUCACCUCCUUAGACUUCCGUUCCCUUCAGGAGAUCAGUGCUGGCCAGGUCUACAUCACUGAGAAUCGACAACUUUGCUAUUAUCACACCAUCAACUGGGCACGUCUCUCUCGCCGGCGUGCAGAUCUUAACAUCAGGAGUAACAAAUCUCCCAGGAAAUGCACUCAAGAGGGGAAGGUCUGUGACCCUCUUUGUUCCAGUGACGGCUGUUGGGGGCCUGGCCCAGACCAGUGUGUCUCUUGCCGAAACUACAGCCGUGAAGGGGUCUGCACUGUCUCCUGCAACUUCUAUGAGGGGGAGAGUCGAGAAUUUGCUCAAGGGGACGUUUGCUUGCCGUGCCAUCCACAAUGCCAGAAGAUUGAGGGAGGCCUCACCUGUAAUGGACAGGGUGCUGAUGAGUGUGUGACCUGUGCAAACUAUAAGGAUGGGCCCCAUUGUGUUGAAAGCUGCCCAUCAGGAAUCCUUGGGGUGAAGGGACUAAUCUUCAAGUACCCUGAUGCCAACAAGGAGUGCUGGCUGUGCCAUGAGAAUUGCACAGAGGGGUGUUUUGGUCCAGAGAUUGGAAAUUGCUUCAUUGUGGAACUGCCUGGCCCCAGGAAAGCUCCAACAAUGAUUGCUAUGAUGGUUGUGGGUUGCCUCUUCGCCUCCUGUUCAUUUGUUUUGCUCACCUUCUUGUACUGCCGUGGCAAGAAGAUUCGGAAGAAGAGAGCCAUGCGCAGAUACUUAGAGAGAGGGGAGAGUCUGGAACCUCUGGAUCCCAGUGAGAAAGCCAACAAGGUCCUGGCUCGAAUCUUCAAGGAGACAGAAUUAAAGAAACUGAAAGUUCUAGGAUCAGGCGUGUUUGGAACGGUGCACAGAGGGGUCUGGAUUCCAGAAGGAGACUCUAUUAAGAUCCCUGUAAGCAUCAAAGUUAUCCAGGAUCCGAGUGGUCGACAGUCCUUCCAUGCUGUAACUGAUCACAUGCUAGCUAUAGGUAGCCUGGAUCACGCCUAUAUUGUCCGUCUCUUGGGCAUCUGCAUUGGUUCCCAGCUGCAACUUGUCACCCAGCUUCUACCAUUGGGCUCCCUGCUGGAGUACGUUCGCAAAAACAGGGACGCCAUUGGCCCUCAGCUGAUGCUCAACUGGUGUGUCCAGAUUGCCAAGGGUAUGUACUAUCUGGAAGAACAUCGCAUGGUACAUCGCAACCUGGCUGCCCGUAAUGUUUUGGUUAAAUCCCCUAGUCAAGUACAAGUGGCAGAUUUUGGCAUUGCUGAUUUGCUCUACCCAGAUGAUAAGAAAUACUUCUACAAUGAAAUUAAGACACCAAUAAAGUGGAUGGCAUUAGAGAGUAUACACUUCGGAAAAUAUACUCACCAAAGUGAUGUGUGGAGUUAUGGAGUUACAUUGUGGGAGAUGAUGACUUUUGGAGGCGAACCUUAUGCUGGAAUCCACCUUUCAGAAGUUCCUGACCUACUGGAAAAGGGAGAACGCCUUUCACAACCUCAGAUCUGCACCAUUGAUGUCUACAUGGUGAUGGUAAAAUGCUGGAUGAUUGAUGAGAACAUUCGUCCCACCUUCAAAGAACUAGCCAAUGAGUUCACACGAAUGGCCCGUGACCCUCCUCGCUACCUGGUGAUUAAGAGAGAAAGCGGGACACUAUCUCCAGUAGAGCCACCUUCACUCAGCGAAAAGGAGUUAGAUGAGAUGGAGACACUGGAGAUGGAAUCCGAGUUGGAGGAGGAGGAACUUCACAAUCUUUUUGCCUCGCGGCAGUGGGUGGACUCCAUGCGGCCUCCAAAUCUUCUGAACUCCUCUGCUGGAUACAUCCCCAUGAAUCAAAGCAGCCUCAGUGGAAGUCGGCAGGGUAUGGGACUCGGCUCCCGGCAGACUUUGCGGAUAAGGCAGGAGUCAAUGGGCCGUACUAUAUCGGAGUCCUCUGAAGGACGAGGCACAACCUCGGAUUACGACCUCACAGAGGAUCUGUCACUGUCCGGAAGCUUAUGCCGCAGCCUGCAAUCCCGGGGAGACAGCGCUUACCUCUCUCAGCGGGAAAGUCUCAUGCUGCCCGUUGGCAAUGUGGACGGAGAGGAGGAUGCCAACGGCUAUGUUAUGCCAGAUCGAAAUGGCAGAGAGCGCGCUGCUGGCAUUACCGCUUCGCUGAUGCGUGGCUCCAUCCCUGUCCACGAAGUGGAGGAAGAGUAUGAGUACAUGAACCGGCGUACUCCGCAAUCCUCACAACCCCGGCCAGCCUCUUUGGAAGAGCUUGGCUAUGAGUAUAUGGAUCUUGGCUCAGAGCUGAGUGCCUCUUUGGGCAGUGUGCCAAGCUCCCAACUAACUACACCUUGCAGGGAGGAUGAAGACGAGGAAGAGGACUACGAGUAUAUGAACAAACAGCCCAAACUUAGCAAGUCCCUGAGUAGCAUCCGCAGUUCUCAGGGAGACUAUACCGAUAUGGAUUCUGGCAUCACCCAGAGCUCCCCAGAUGAGCAGGGAUAUGAGGAAAUGGGUGCUGUGUUGCCCCCAGUCCAGUAUCUUGGCUGCCAGAGUCCACCCUGUCCCAAGAACGGUUUCAUGAAACCCUUGCGCACACUGGACUCCUCAGAUUGUGCCUUCGAUAAUCCGGAUUACUGGCACAGCCGGAUGUUCAGCAAAGUUGAUGCUCAGAGGACAUAGCUGGGGGCGGGAAGCUUUCUCUGACUUCACGGGUAGCUAAAAAACCCUUUAACGCAAUCACACUUUAUGGUGAUUGUGAACUGCAAAGGCAAACCUUCUAUUCAUCUGCAAAGCCUCUAUGAUGUUGACCAUAGUUAGCAAACGUAUCUAGACGGCUGAUGAGCUUCUGAAGAACAACUGCAUUGCAGUUUUCCCCGUCUUGCACUGUGGAUCAACAGCUGUCUUCAGUUGGGUCUCUUCGGUUCGAAGGCUCUGGACCCGCAAGGCAAAUAGGACCAGUUGAGGAAGCACAGUUCAUACUGGAAUCCGUUCCUGUUAUGCAAACGGAGGGAUGCCUACUUUCGCAGUGUAGGGGUUUGGAAGAGACUUGCUAACAGCUGCUCCAAACCAAAGUGCUCUGACCACAGAUGGACGACACUGGAAGCAGCUCAGAUAAAGCCAGCCCUCUAGGCUGCCGAGGGAAGACUUGCGCUCUGUGACAACCCUCUGUCCUUUACAAGCAGAGGGGCCUUAAUCGUGAACCAAGCAUGUGCUGAGCCUUAUUGUUGGCCAUAAGGCUGAAGGGACAAACUUCUUGAGAAAAAGGAGGCCGACCCUUGUUAUAUAUUCCUCUAGUAAUAUGUAUAACAGUAGAGGAGUUGAUUAAUCCUCAGGGUGGAUAUGAAGGAUAAUGGUACUUUUUCUCUCAGAACUUGUGACAAGCAACCUCACUGAAGAAGCCAAUAUGCCCAUGUGUGGGCUACGAGAUGACUAGGUUUUUGCUCCUACCUCUCAAUAAGACCUUAGGCACUCUUGGUUCUGUCUAUGUCAGAGGUUGGAGACCUCUGGUCUAUGUCAUGCUGUUUUGCUGUUAGGAAUCCCCAUGUCACAAUGAGAAGAGUGGAUAUGAACAAAGCCUGAACAUGCAGGAGGCCAAUUUCCACUCUAGGCAUUUAGAUGUUCACGAUUACAAGCAACUUGAAAUAUUCUUCUUUCUUGAUUGUGGACGAUUCAGCAAUAAUCUCCAAUACUUCCAAACCACAAGCAGUCGGGAGAGAGUGCCAACCCUGUUAUAAGGAAGUGGGGGGAAGGAAUCUUUCUAUGGCCCUAUGCAGAAGAUGCCAGAGGCAGAGCCUUUUUUUUUUUUAAAGCAAUAAGUUUUAUAUUUCCUCCUUUUCUAGAAUGGAAUACAGGGAUGUUUGUCAGAUUAGGGACCAAGGAAAGAGACCAGCAGCAACUUAAUCCUUGCUACAAAAAAAAUGGAUAACACGAGGGAGGUCUCCUUAUUCCUGAAGUUAACUAAUGUACUUUUGUUUGAAAGGGCAUAAAAGCACACUGAGCUUUACGGCAUUAUUACAAUUCUUUUGAGUCAAGCUCAUUUAUACAAGAGCAUGAUAUGGGAACAAUUUCCCCCCCUUUUCUCACCAUCACUCCUCCCUAUCCUGAGGGCUUAUUACAGAAUAUACAACCUUGACAUAACUCAGGUGUUCCGGAUUCCACCAAAUAAAGAGGCAGUUAGAAAAAGCAAAAUUCCAUCCCAAUUUGGGAGAGGCAAAGGCUGUGAUUUGCUUUUU